rnacentral:rRNA from 1 species
UACGGAGGGUGCAAACGUUGCUCGGAAUCAUUGGGCGUAAAGAGCGUGUAGGCGGCCCGGUAAGUCCGCUGUAAAAGUCAAAGGCUCAACCUUUGAAUGUCAGUGGAUACUGCCGGGCUAGAGUCCGGAAGAGGCGAGUGGAACUCCUGGUGUAGCGGUGGAAUGCGCAGAUAUCAGGAAGAACACCGACGGCGAAGGCAGCUCGCUGGGACGGUACUGACGCUGAGACGCGAAAGCGUGGGGAGCGAACAGG